rnacentral:rRNA from 1 species
UAGCAAAUACUUUGGUGGCGACCGGCGCACGGGUGAGUAACGCGUAUGCAACCCCCCUAUCAGAGGGGAAUAACCCGGCGAAAGUCGGACUAAUACCGCAUAAAACAGGGACACCGCAUGGUGAUAUUUGUUAAAGAAAUUCGCUGAUAGAUGGGCAUGCGUUCCAUUAGGUAGUUGGUGAGGUAACGGCUCACCAAGCCGACGAUGGAUAGGGGAACUGAGAGGUUGGUCCCCCACACUGGUACUGAGACACGGACCAGACUCCUACGGGAGGCAGCAGUGAGGAAUAUUGGUCAAUGGGCGAGAGCCUGAACCAGCCAAGUCGCGUGAAGGAAGAAGGAUCUAUGGUUCGUAAACUUCUUUUGCAGGGGAAUAAAGUGCAGGACGUGUCCUGUUUUGUAUGUACCCUGAGAAUAAGGAUCGGCUAACUCCGUGCCAGCAGCCGCGGUAAUACGGAGGAUCCGAGCGUUAUCCGGAUUUAUUGGGUUUAAAGGGUGCGUAGGUGGUUUGAUAAGUCAGCGGUGAAGGUUUGCAGCUUAACUGUAAAAAUGCCGUUGAAACUGUCGGACUUGAGUGUAAAUGAGGUAGGCGGAAUGCGUGGUGUAGCGGUGAAAUGCUUAGAUAUCACGAAGAACUCCGAUUG